AAAAAAUACAUUGAACGUGGACAGCAACUGCUUGGAUAUCGCACAUUCUACAUCCUCGGUUGUUACUGGUGCAAAUGUCUCAGAGGAAAGGGGAUCAUUUUUGGCAAGAGCUCAGUGUUAUUCAGUGGAAUUCACCCUGCAGGAUAGAAGGCAUUUUAAAGGAGCCUCUUGCUCUUUGUUAAGCUGCCUGGCAUGCACUGCUGUGGUCCUACGCCGUGCUUGGGGAAUGGAUAAAAACUCAUGAACUGGAACUGUGACCUUCUGUGGGGAAUCAAUAUUGUAGCACUUCAGCCUGUUAAAGCUCUGGAGCGUUUUGGCUUUUUCCACAAGCUGCGGUUCACAAAGGGAACAAAGAAUUAUAAAAAAUGUGAGAGGAAAUGGCAAUUACCAUGUGAUUUAUUGUACCUCUCUCGCUGCAGCACAA